UACGAAGGGGGCUAGCGUUGUUCGGAAUUACUGGGCGUAAAGCGCAUGUAGGCGGAUAUUUAAGUCAGGGGUGAAAUCCCGCAGCUCAACUGCGGAACUGCCUUUGAUACUGGGUAUCUUGAGUAUGGAAGAGGUGAGUGGAAUUCCGAGUGUAGAGGUGAAAUUCGUAGAUAUUCGGAGGAACACCAGUGGCGAAGGCGGCUCACUGGUCCAUUACUGACGCUGAGGUGCGAAAGCGUGGGGAGCAAACAGG
rnacentral:rRNA from 1 species